AACGAACGCUGGCGGCAUGCCUAACACAUGCAAGUCGAACGAGACCUUCGGGUCUAGUGGCGCACGGGUGCGUAACGCGUGGGAACCUGCCCUUAGGUUCGGAAUAACUCCCCGAAAGGGGUGCUAAUACCGGAUAAUGUCUUCGGACCAAAGAUUUAUCGCCUUUGGAUGGGCCCGCGUUGGAUUAGCCAGUUGGUAGGGUAAAAGCCUACCAAGGCGACGAUCCAUAGCUGGUCUGAGAGGAUGAUCAGCCACACUGGGACUGAGACACGGCCCAGACUCCUACGGGAGGCAGCAGUGUGGAAUAUUAGACAAUGGGCGAAAGCCUGAUCCAGCAAUGCCGCGUGAGUGAUGAAGGCCUUAGUGUUGUAAAGCUCUUUUACCCGGGAUGAUAAUGACAGUACCGGGAGAAUAAGCUCCGGCUAACUCCGUG
rnacentral:rRNA from 1 species